AAAAAUGUGGUCUCGUGAAUUCGUGGUCGAUUCUCUGGAUGGAAUCGCUAAAUACCCACUCCAUGCUGUUUUAAAGAUUCAAGGCCUGAGCCAGCCAUCAUAACUACAAAAUAUGCCAGAUUCUGCUUGUGCUGGUGGAUUGGCCUGUCGUCAGCAGCAAUUUCAUCUCAUCACUUGGAUAAACAGCAUCCCUCUUCGUUGGAUAACCUACCUAUGGCCGAGCUACGGAUCUCCUUUUCCCCUUUCUUUCAAUGUCCUCGUGUACGCCCAUGCGAGUGUGGGUGUAUUCACGAGGACACCCUUUUCCCUAUCCUUCCUGGUGUUGGAUUCAACUUAUCAGCGGAUGGAAUACGUGUGGAAGCCUGGCUGUAUUUCCCAGGCUGAAAGGUAGGACAAAUUCAUCUCCAUCCUUCCUUUUUUACCAUUUUGGGUUGCGUUGAUUCUAAAUCGUUGAAUAGUAACGGAGUACGAUUAUUCCUGGGCCAUAGCUGAAACUGUUUCAUCUUGCCGGUUUUUCUUUCAGUCAGGGUUCCUUAAAUAGCUCACGUGUAGAACCACUGAAAAUCAGGCCUGUUUUUGACCCUCGCAACUUUGUCUGUGGUUAAACUAUCGAAUUCAGAAAUAUUUGAAGCAAAGUGCAACUUGAGCAUUUUUUUCUUUUUAACCAAGCCCAUCAACUUAACCUUGCCGCCACACCGGCACUUCCUGGUUGGGGUGGAUCAGACCGGAACAAAACUGACCCGUUAUACAAGAUUUUUCUGUAAAUAAAAGUCCCCAUUUCAAUUACUAACUGACUCAUCAGACUUUAAACCAAAACUAAGUCUGGGUCGGCGGUCGGCUUCUUCUAACCCCAUUCAACGCCGAAAUAUGUAAAAGGGCGAAGAAGAAGACUCGUAUCACAUCUCCAUUAUCUAAUAAUACCUGUUGAAAUAACGACUAUACACACACACACAAAGUACGUCUCAUUGUGUUUGUGCCUAUACGUCUUGUAAUAAUAAUCACCCCCCUUGGAAAUAAAAAACUCGACUCUUUCAUACGCUUUUUCGAACGGAACCUUUUCGGAGAUGGUUGACUGCUUCAUUUUGUGUUCAAGGGAGAAAACGACUGGCGGCAUACUAUGCGCGGCUCCUCUAUUAUUCACUAACAAUAUUAUAAAAAAAAAAGGGCCUCUCUUCUUUUCUCUCUCGACUCCUCCCCUAUUCUCUCCGGUCCGGCCCUAUCCUGCUGGAGAGUCAUUCAUAGCGCAUCACCAAUUUUUCCAGCCAAGAAACACAACACACCCAUAGCCCGGCGUGUGUGUACCCAUGUAGCUGCAGAGAGAGAGAGCGGACACUGUGUAGGCGAUGUGGCGGAUGAGUCUAAUAUCUAAAUAGCACUAAUAUAAGCAGGACGCGACGGCGAGAAGAGAGACGACCCUUCUCUUGUUCACUUCUUCCUCCUUUUUUUCUCCUCUUCUUCAAGUGCCGAAUUAAUUAAUUGAUUUACGAUCUCUCCUUUUUUCUUUAAGAGGGAAACAAAAAAAUAAUAAAAAUUUCCAAAUUUGGUCGUCUUGGGUUUUAUAUUUUUAACGACAAAAGGGCGCGCUGGCGCGAGCCACACGGCCGAUAUGCAGAGAGAGAGAGGAUGGAUGUGCCUGUAUAGACUUUGUAUAUAUCGUUAACAUUCCGCAAGCAUCUAGAGUUUCCCCCAUUCUUCUCGUCUUUCCAUUCAAUAAAGUCAUCAUCAUCAUCUUCUUCUUUCUCUGGCUGGCCCUCCCCCCCUCGGCUGCCUUUUUGACAGCUGAGUCAGCGACUGGGGGUCUCUGGCUGAUAUGCGCUCAGGUUCAUUGAUAUGCGCACUGACUUGUGUGUGUGUGGCGGAUAGGAGAAGAAGAAGAGAGUCAUCAGCUGUUGAUGGCUCGGCAAACAGCGACUAGAUGAUGAUAAAGAUGGAUGAUUAGUUUUUUUUUACACACAGCCGAUCCUCUCGUCUAGAUGCAUCCGCAUCGAAUAGUUUUCAACCCAUCUACACAUUCCUACAAGGACGUACAAUUGAGCGUCUUAUUCCCCCGCCGUGUCGAUCCAUUUCACCAAUCAAAAGGCGAACAUUUUCUGCGCACAUUUUCCAGCCGAACAGAAAAAUGGACAUCAUUUGAAGGGCUUUUUUUAUUGUGGGGGAAAAAAUGGGCGACAAACAACAACAACAUUCCGAACCAAUUGAAAUGGCAUUCAUCUUCAUAUAUUGACUCGCCCCCAUGUCCCAGAAUUUUCAGCUCGCACAAUUUGGGGACUUAAAAGGCCCUUAAAUGGUGGACCGCUCGCAGCGAGACCACAAGUCGGUUCCGCUCGUCUACUACCUCGAUGAUGAUUUCUAAUGAGCCGCAUACACAGCCGAUCUGUGUGUGUGACUCUGGUAUAACACACACACUCUCUCGGGGCUUCAUCAUUUGAUAUCGAGAAAUGUACUUUUGACCCGCGGAGGAGUUCCGCACCUUUUUCUUUCCUCCCUCCGCUCUUUUGUAAUUAUACGAACAGGUAUAUAUGAAGAGAGAUGAGACUUAUAUGGUGUACACAAGCGCGCGGUGGUUUUUACAAGAAGAGAGGAAUCAUACCUUCGUUAGAGUGUCUAUUGUGUGUGAUGUGCUGUCCGUUUGAACCGCAAGAGAGGGUCACGAUGACGAGAUUGGACUCACAUGAAGCCAAAUCUUCGCGGCUGUCAAAAGAUUCACUUAAUUCUCCAACAAUUUCUUUGGCUUGUUGCUCUGCGGUUCGGGUAAAAAAGAAAGGUACCACCUUUGGCUGGUUGCUGCUGCUGACGGCCCAUUUUUUUUUUCUUUUGCCCAGCAGCUAUAGAUCAUAAAAGGCUAAAUAUAUAAUCUUACAACUGCGCACGAUAUUAAUGUCGUCAUCACCGGCGGAGAAGUUCACCGACGAGCACAAAAAAAACUAAAAUAAAUAAAUAAAAGGGGAAAUUUUCGUGAGUGUUUUUCUUCUCUUUCUUGUUUUCUAAUUCUUUUGGCGCGUCUAGAAAAUUGAAGGCAAACAGAUAAGAGAGAGAGAGAGCCCAUUACAGGCCAUUAUACACGUCCCAUGUAUAUAUAAACAUCGACUCUCGGCGACUAGAGUGAGUGUGUGUGUUGUGUGUAGCCUAAUUUUCGUGUCUUUUAACGGCUGGGAAGUUGGUAAAAAGAAGAAAACGGGGUCGUCAAAAAAGCUUGUCGUCCCAAAAUUUUGCUCCUCUAUUUUCACUUUUAUUCUCUUUCGGCUUCUUUCUAAAAAAAAAACACGCCGGUUUUAUAUACGUGUGAUGAUGAUUGUUGGCCCUCGGUUUUGUCGUACUUCUAUAUUGGAUAAUAUAACACAACAGUCGCUUUCCACACAGGAAUAAUAAAAGAAAAGGAAUAUAUACGUCUAACUGCUGUACAGCGCAUUAAAGGUGAUGUGUGCGUACAUGCCCAGCAGAGAGAUAGAGAGAGAGUCCGUGUCUAUCUAAUACGUCAUGGUUUUUAUGGCUUUUUUGUCGGCUCCUUGUGUCCUGUCCUCUUGCGUGUUACAACCUCCAAAAUUGUGAGCAACUCAAGUACAUGCACACACAGAGAAUAACCAAGAGGGGAGAGAAAAUGGCCAUCCAACAGAUAGAGACACACUCUCUCUUAUUCCUCUAAGUCUGUCUGUGCAUAUAAUACCAUACGUAUGUGCACCUAAUGUCGGAAACAAUUAUACGUAUAUAUACACCGCACAACAAAGCUCUGUACUCGUUAGAUUUCAGUAAUAUAACCGUAGGUUCAUAAUAGAUAUGUUACACUAGGCAUCAUGGAUUUGCGUCAUGUUUUCACAGCACCUUCUCAAGUCAAACUUUUUGAGUCCAUUAUAUUUGGUUAUUUUCCAUCGUGGCCACUUUCACCUCCUCACUUCUUUUUCUAUGUACUCGUCAUUUCGCCGGCGCUUAAUGUGAAUGUUUAUUUAGGUAAAUAGAGCCGGCGUGACCCUACUGUGUGCUUGUAGAUUUAAGGGCUGGCAGAUUCAUCGCGUGUCGUGUCUUAUUGAGGUCGGACGAGGUUUUACCCCGCACCAUCCGCAUAGCUUUUGGCCAAUUAUAACAAUUCUAAUGGAGAGUGGGGGUAAAAAUAUCUCAUCAUCAUUAUCGCAUGCAGCAAUUAACCUUCUCCGGUGGAGAGGAGCAGCAAUCACGCGGUUUGAUGCACGCCGGCGAGCAAUUCGAAUUCAAAUGAUGUGAGGCUGUCGGCGUGAUUAUUAUUUUCGCCUAAUUCCCGUCUUUCCUCUCUAUCUCGUUUCCAUCUGCGUGCAACUUGAUACACACACACACUCGUGUAGAGUAUCUGAGUAAUAACAAUAAUAAUUGAGACUAUACAGCGGGGCUAUAAAGGAGGCUGAUUAGCGAGCAAUUAUUAUAUACCUGGCUGGUUGCAAUCAGCACUUUGGGGCAGGGCUGAUUAUUUGCGUGAGCUGCCUUUUGUGCAUGUCGCGCUUAAAUCUCGAUGCGGCUGUUGGUUUUUUUAAUUUCACAUUUCCAACCAAAUUCAUUUUGGAAUGUUUUCCAACAAAUGAACCUCACCUGUGUUGUUUCUCCUCUAUCCAGUUUGUUUGUUUGUUUUCUUCUGCAAAACAAAACAGAUGAAUGAAGUGAUUACUGCUGAUAUCUUACACACGCCGAGUCUAUUCUCGUU